CCUACGGGUGGCUGCAGUGGGGAAUAUUGCACAAUGGGGGGAACCCUGAUGCAGCGACGCCGCGUGGGUGAAGAAGCGCCUCGGCGCGUAAAGCCCUGUCAGCAGGGAAGAAAAUGACGGUACCUGAAGAGGAAGCCCCGGCUAACUACGUGCCAGCAGCCGCGGUAAUACGUAGGGGGCAAGCGUUAUCCGGAUUUACUGGGUGUAAAGGGGGCGCAGACGGCGAUGCAAGCCAGGGGUGAAAGCCCGGGGCCCAACCCCGGGACUGCUCUUGGAACUGCGUGGCUAGAGUGCAGGAGGGGCAGGCGGAAUGCCUGGUGUAGCGGUGAAAUGCGUAGAUAUCAGGGGGAACACCGGUGGCGAAGGCGGCCUGCUGGACUGCAACUGACGUUGAGGCCCGAAAGCGUGGGGAGCAAACAGGAUUAGAUACCCGAGUAGUC
rnacentral:rRNA from 1 species